AUGCUUCUAUCUGAGAGAUGUCAAGGCUCGAUGCAGUAUCUUCACCUUGCCAAUUUGGACUUACAUCCCACAUUUGAACUUGGUUUGAGAACCCUAAGAACGCUGCAUCUGUGUAAUGUGCAUAUUACUGGGGAUGAGUUAGGGUGCCUUCUGACCCAUUCCUUUGCUUUGGCACAUUUGAGACUUCAAUAUUGUCAUGACAUCAUUCGCCUGGAGAUACCUUGUCUGCUGCAGCGGCUCAGGUUCCUGGAAGUGCUUGAAUGUAGCCUUCAGGUGUUAGAGAUCAAUGCCCCAAAUAUCUUCAGAUUGCGCUUAUUAGAUUUUAGUGUGCAACUCUUGCUUGGAAAGUCAUGGAAGAUGAAGAACCUGAUGUUGAACAAUAGCUGUGUCAUCAGUUAUGCUAUUAACAACCUUCCUUCCUGUGCACCAAAAGUUGAGACUCUUACCAUACAUUCUAGUUAUGAGAUACUUAAUGCACCAGUGGCAUCUAGCAAAUUUCGCCACCUCAAGUUCUUGAAUAUUUAUCUUGCGGGACUUCAUUCUCAUCGGGACUAUGAUUAUUUAUCCUUAGUUUCUUUUUUUGACGCUUCUCCUUUGUUGGAGAAGUUUGUCUUGCUUGUAUCACGAGUGCAGUCCAAGUAUGACUGGUUUGAGGGAGAUCCCUCAUCUCUGAGACAAAUGUCAGAACACCGCCAUCGCAACCUCAAGAGUGUGAAGAUCAGUAGUUUCUGCCCCCAAAAAAGCAUGCUUGAGCUAGCACGUCAUAUUCUUGAGAAUGCAACAUCACUUGAGUGCCUUACAUUGGACACCACUCCUAUUAGUCACCGAUGUUCUGGCGAUAUGUUGGACAGGAAAUGCCCUCCACUGGAAACUGAAUGUAUAAGGGAUGCACAUAAAUCAAACUUGGCUGUGAGAAAAUACAUUGAGGGGAAAGUUAACUCCACAGUCAAGUUAAACUUACUAGGGCCUUGCAGCCGGUGUUAUGCUUUGUGA
rnacentral:rRNA from 1 species